rnacentral:rRNA from 1 species
GACAGAGGGUGCAAACGUUGCUCGGAAUUACUGGGCGUAAAGCGCGUGUAGGCGGGCUUGUAAGUUGGACGUGAAAGCCCUGGGCUCAACCCAGGAAUUGCAUCCAAAACUACAAGUCUAGAGUGAUGGAGAGGGUCGCAGAAUUCCUGGUGUAGAGGUGAAAUUCGUAGAUAUCAGGAGGAACACCGGUGGCGAAGGCGGCGACCUGGACAUUAACUGACGCUGAGACGCGAAAGCGUGGGGAGCAAAC